UACAGAGGGUGCAAGCGUUAAUCGGAAUUACUGGGCGUAAAGCGUGCGCAGGCGGUUAUUUAAGUCGGGCGUGAAAGCCCCGGGCUCAACCUGGGAAUUGCGUUCGAUACUGGAUAGCUAGAGUUCGGCAGAGGGAAGCGGAAUUUCGGGUGUAGCGGUGAAAUGCGUAGAUAUCCGAAGGAACAUCAGUGGCGAAAGCGGCUUCCUGGACCAGAACUGACGAUCAGGCACGAAAGCGUGGGGAGCAAACAGG
rnacentral:rRNA from 1 species